rnacentral:rRNA from 1 species
UACGUAGGGGGCAAGCGUUGUCCGGAUUUAUUGGGCGUAAAGAGCGUGUAGGCGGUUUGGUAGGUCCGCUGUGAAAACUCGAGGCUCAACCUCGAGACGCCGGUGGAAACCAUCAGACUAGAGUCCGGAAGAGGCGAGUGGAAUUCCUGGUGUAGCGGUGAAAUGCGCAGAUAUCAGGAGGAACACCAAUUGCGAAGGCAGCUCGCUGGGACGUUACUGACGCUGAGACGCGAAAGCGUGGGGAGCAAACAGG